UACAGAGGUCCCAAGCGUUGUUCGGAUUCACUGGGCGUAAAGGGUGCGUAGGUGGCUUGGUAAGUUUGAUGUGAAAUCUCCGGGCUUAACCCGGGAAAUGGCAUUGAAUACUAUUGAGCUGGAGGUUUGGAGGGGGGACUGGAAUUCUCGGUGAGCAGUGAAAUGCGUAGAUAUCGAGAGGAACACCAGUGGCGAAGGCGAGUCCCUGGACAACACCUGACACUGAGGCACGAAGCUAGGGGAGCAAACAGG
rnacentral:rRNA from 1 species